CCCUCGUGCACUGUUGGUGGGAAUGCAAACUGGUGCAGCCGCUCUGGAAAACAUUGGAGAGGUUCCUCAAAAAAUGAAAAGGAGAACUACCCUAUGAUCCUGCAAUUCUGCUUCUGGGUAUCUAUCCAAAGCACACGAAAACACCAUCUCGAAAAGAUAGGUGCACCCCCUGUUUAUUGCAGCAUGCUUUACUGUGGCCAAGAUAGUACAAAGAAAGGAAUAUUACUCCGCCAUAAAAAAUAAUGGAACCUUGCCAUUUGCAAUGGCAUGGACGGACCUCGGGGGCGUCAUGUUGAGUGAGGUCUCAGAUUCUCCGGUUCGGCAUGGAGGACACGAAGGAGGGUGAGGGAGGGACGUUGUCCUCCAGUUCACGGCUGUCGAGCAGAGAAGUGGGGCCGGUGUGGACACCCCGCCAUUCUCUAAUGGAGAUCUGCUUCGAGUGUUGCGUUUUCCUGAUGUUUCCGGUCCUACAGGAGGGCGUGUGGCUGAACAAUGAGGACAGACCGCUCUACACUCUGCGUCUUCGCAUAGACCCUGCUGGGCACGCGUGCGUAUUAGAAGUGUGUUAAACCGUAAUUUGUGACGUAGGAUGUGUUUAUGUCGGUGGCCAGUGGGUGUUGUCGUUUGAGUAACAGAUUUCACUCGCUUUCCUCCUUUCGGUGUUUGACAUUCUAGAGACCCCUUGAUAGGAACUGUACAUCGGAGCGACGUUUCUGUGAAACGAAACAGAUGCACCGACCACACGGAACCGAUCCUGUUUACCUUGCCCGCUGUUACGAGGACCGCGGCUUGCGAGGCAACGUAUAAACACGUUCUCUGCUCUGACCUUCUGUAUUAGAGAAGGUACGUUUUGCAGCAUGCUUGGACCCUUGAGGAUUUAGACGGGAUCGCACCCGGAGGACAGGCAGCUUGGGGCGGCAGGACACAGAGGGUGCAUCUGUGUCCUGUGUUCCCGCCCUGCUCCUGGGAGCUGCCUGGGCAUCAGCCCUGGUGACCAGGAGGGUGUGGUUUGGGACAUCCCAGAGGCGUCCCUCAUUCUGCACUCUCCCUACUUGUCAGAGCUGCAUGGAGGGCUGAAGACGUCCUGAGCACCCGAGCACAAGAAUACCUCAGCAUCAGAGAUCAGGGAGAAGAGCCACGUUUCCAUCGGACUGGACGGUCCCCUGCUGUCCACCGGCCUCGGCAUCUCUGCUCUCCAAGUGGGUCUCAGCGGACAAGCGGCAAUGAGAGCUCCAAGGCCAUUCCUGGACAUUUAAAGACACUGUCAACGGCAUCCGGGAUUGACAAAAGACAGGUACAGGUCAGAUCUGGCCGGUGGCCUCCCUUACCCAACCUCUCGUGGCAAGAAUGGCUUUUACAUUUUUAUUAUUAUCAGUUUAUACAUUUUUUUGAAGUUUAUUUAUUUUUGAGAGAGAGACAAA